rnacentral:rRNA from 1 species
AGUGAACGCUGGCGGUAGGCCUAACACAUGCCAGUCGAACGGCAGCACAGUAAGAGCUUGCUCUUACGGGUGGCGAGUGGCGGACGGGUGAGGAAUACAUCGGAAUCUACUUUUUCGUGGGGGAUAACGUAGGGAAACUUACGCUAAUACCGCAUACGACUUACGGGUGAAAGCAGGGGAUCUUCGGACCCUGCGCGAUUGAAUGAGCCGAUGUCGGAUUAGCUAGUUGGCGGGGUAAAGGCCCACCAAGGCGACGAUCCGUAGCUGGUCUGAGAGGAUGAUCAGCCACACUGGAACUGAGACACGGUCCAGACUCCUACGGGAGGCAGCAGUGGGGAAUAUUGGACAAUGGGCGCAAGCCUGAUCCAGCCAUACCGCGUGGGUGAAGAAGGCCUUCGGGUUGUAAAGCCCUUUUGUUGGGAAAGAAAAGCAGCAGGUUAAUACCCCGCUGUUCUGACGGUACCCAAAGAAUAAGCACCGGCUAACUUCGUG